AGUGAACGCUGGCGGUAGGCCUAACACAUGCAAGUCGAACGGCAGCACAGUAAGAGCUUGCUCUUACGGGUGGCGAGUGGCGGACGGGUGAGGAAUACAUCGGAAUCUACUUUUUCGUGGGGGAUAACGUAGGGAAACUUACGCUAAUACCGCAUACGACCUACGGGUGAAAGCAGGGGAUCUUCGGACCUUGCGCGAUUGAAUGAGCCGAUGUCGGAUUAGCUAGUUGGCGGGGUAAAGGCCCACCAAGGCGACGAUCCGUAGCUGGUCUGAGAGGAUGAUCAGCCACACUGGAACUGAGACACGGUCCACACUCCUACUGGAGGCAGCAGUGGCGAAUAUUGGACUAUGGGCGCAAGCCUGAUCCAGCCAUACCGCGUGCGUGAAGAAGGCCUUCGGGUUGUAAAGCCCUUUUGUUGGGAAAGAAAAGCAGCAGGUUAAUACCCCGCUGUUCUGACGGUACCCAAAGAAUAAGCACCGGCUAACUUCGUG
rnacentral:rRNA from 1 species